rnacentral:rRNA from 1 species
AGAGUUUCGAUCCUGGCUCAGGACGAACGCUGGCGGCGUGCUUAACACAUGCAAGUCGAGCGGAAAGGCCACUUCGGUGGUACUCGAGCGGCGAACGGGUGAGUAACACGUGAGUAAUCUGCCCUUGGCUUUGGGAUAGCCACCGGAAACGGUGAUUAAUACCGGAUACGACCACUUCUCGCAUGGGAUGGUGGUGGAAAGUUUUUCGGCCAGGGAUGUGCUCGCGGCCUAUCAGCUUGAUGGUGAGGUAAUGGCUCACCAUGGCUUCGACGGGUAGCCGGCCUGAGAGGGUGACCGGUCACACUGGGACUGAGACACGGCCCAGACUCCUACGGGAGGCAGCAGUGGGGAAUAUUGGACAAUGGGCGGAAGCCUGAUCCAGCAACGCCGCGUGAGGGAUGACGGCCUUCGGGUUGUAAACCUCUUUCAGCAGGGACGAAGCGCAAGUGACGGUACCUGCAGAAGAAGCACCGGCCAACUACGUG